CGGCAAGAGCUCAAAUUUGAAAUCUGGCGUCUUUUGGCGUCCGAGUUGUAAUUUGUAGAGGAUGCUUUGGGAGCGACCACGGUCUAAGUUCGCUGGAACGCGACGUCAUAGAGGGUGAGAAUCCCGUCUGGGCCCGCCGGUCAAUCUCGUGUAAAGCUCCUUCGAC
rnacentral:rRNA from 1 species